GCCACAUAAGCGCGUCGGUUAGCUGGGCUGCUCCAGCGCGCUGGCGUAUAGUCCUCAUUUUUAUGGUCAGAACAGCGACACAGAUUUCAGCUGUGUUUACGCUGAUGAUCAGACAUAUUAAAAAAAAAAGAAAGAAAGAAGUCAGCCAGGUGGAGGUGAGAGUGUUAAAAAAAUACAUUAUUGCAUGAUAAUGGAUGGAGUAAUUUGUCUUAGUUUCUUUUUUUAUGUAGUUGUUAAUCUGUACAUACUACAUUUGUCUAUUAUUCAAAUCCAAACAGUGACCUUGUAAACUUAUUCUUCUUUAUAUAGUUGGAGACUAGCAAAAAUGUUUGUGAUAUUCCUUUCUUCUGAUUAAAUACUUAUAUUGUAUUCAUACCAUUACAAAAUAUCUGUGCUUUUCUGACAAUAAACCAGACUUGUAUAAUGUAUUGGAUAAGUAGAUUAAUAGUAAUGAAUUAUUAUUAUUAUUAUCUAUUAGUGGCAAGGCAAGCCCGAUUUUGGGUCGCCCACCAAAUGGUCUUUUUCAAGGUCUAAAAAGUUCAAUGAAAUUUCAGAAGGGUCAUUUCCAAUAGUCAGCCACGGGCUCAGCCCACCCAAAGUACUCGAUCCCGACUCGCCCCUGCCUGAAACCCGUGUCAUGCAAUGUCUAAUCCCAUUUGUUGAUUUGUAAGAGUAAGGACAUCUUGUCUGUAAUUUAAGAUCUCAAUGUACUUUAUCUAGACCAAGGGUGGGAAAACUUUUGUGCUCAAGGCCCUUGAGCACAACCUUGAGUCAGGGGCCACAUUUGCUUUUUAAAAAGGGUAGAAUGGGACAGCUCAUUCGUAGAAGUUUUUUUUUUGGUUUGUUUUGAAAGAAAAAGAAACAUGGAUAUAGUUUAAUGUAAUAAUAUCCAUCUAUUUUCCAUACCGGAUAUCCCCAUUAGGGUCACAGGUAUUUUAAUAAUAAGUAAACUUUAUUUAAAAUGUAUUAAAUUACAUCUAUAGAGUAUGUACAGCACAUUUGUCUAUUCAUAUUAUUAAUGGAUUAUUUACAAUAAAGCAAUCAACCAGUUAUUUACUUCGAUAAAUGUCCAUCCAUCUAUCCAUUUUCUAUACCGAUCAUCCUACUGAGGGUCAUGGUGAGCAGGAGCCUAUCCCAGCUGACUCCAGGCGAAAAGCGGACCACACCCUGGACUGUCAGUUUCAGAGCACAUCACGAGACCGACAACCAUUCCCACAGUCACUGAGUGGGAACCGAACCCGCACUGCCUGCACAAAGGUCUAGGCUACAUCAUCAUUGAUGCAUAAAAAGAAAGUUAAAAAUGAAUAAUCCCGUUAUAAUUAACACAUUUUAGCUAAAUGAAUGUGGCAAAUAUGACAGGACCUUUGAUCAUGUAAAUGCUCGGUGGGCUGGGUUGAAGAACGGAAUGGAGUGCAUGUUGCCCGCGGGCCAGACUUUGUCCACCCCCUGAUCUAGAGCACAUGGAGAAUUAAAAAAUAAUAAUAAAUAAAUAAAAAGAACAUUGCCACUUACUUAAGAUUGACACAGUACUGUAUACAUUUUUGUGAUACCGUACCAAGUUCAAUCUUCAAAGAAGGCUUACAAUUCUUCAGGAUUCAAAUGUAAUUCCUUGCUACUAAUGAGGGGGUGGGGGGGGAUAAAAAUACAAGAAAUCCAGUGUCAACAACUUUAUUUUUGUUAUUGUUGUGCCUUGGUUGUUAUAAGACAAUGUUAUAAAUUGAUGGGGAAAAAUACACAUAUGUAAAAACAACCACCUCUAAAUUCUGCUUUACAGCUGAAUACACCUACAAUAUGUGUGUAUUAGGGAACUAAAAGAAGUCAAGGCAUGUCAGCAACCUUUGAUAUUUCUACCAGACCGCUCUUGUGCUGUGUGGAAUUUCUUUUUUACUUCCACAGAUUAAUAAGAUCAGUUGCAUUUACCCGAGCAAACCACAGGUCACAGUCCCCAGUAGAAUUUAGUUUGGACAAGGCAAGAAAAAAACAAUUUCCAUCUUUCACACACUUUGCUUCUGCCUUGGAACAAAGCAGCAUCGAAUGGGAAGAAAUCGAGUGCCGCCGGAGCACACAAAUCUAUCACAUUAGAAACAGUAUAAAUAUGCAAACAUUGGAAUAAUGGCACCCACAAGAAGGUCAAGAGUAAGAGCAUACAAAAAUUAAAGCUGAAGUCACACCAAGAGUCAGGUGAGAAAUGCUGAGAGAGAAACAUCAACCCUCAACAGAAAGGCAGAUGAUCUAAAACAUUGUUUAAUCUACAGUACGCUCUCUACCUCUACGUACACUUUGGCUGUUUUUCCCCUUUCUGCACGAGGCUGGGGGGGG